rnacentral:rRNA from 1 species
AUUGAACGCUGGCGGCAUGCUUUACACAUGCAAGUCGAACGGUAACAGGCCUUCGGGUGCUGACGAGUGGCGAACGGGUGAGUAAUGCAUCGGAACGUACCCAGAGGUGGGGGAUAACGCAGCGAAAGCUGUGCUAAUACCGCAUGUGAUCUGAGGAUGAAAGCGGGGGACCGAGCAGCAAUGUUUGGCCUCGCGCCUUUGGAGCGGCCGAUGUCGGAUUAGCUAGUUGGUGGGGUAAAGGCCUACCAAGGCGACGAUCCGUAGCUGGUCUGAGAGGACGACCAGCCACACUGGGACUGAGACACGGCCCAGACUCCUACGGGAGGCAGCAGUGGGGAAUUUUGGACAAUGGGCGCAAGCCUGAUCCAGCAAUGCCGCGUGCGGGAAGAAGGCCUUCGGGUUGUAAACCGCUUAUGGCAGGAACGAAACGGUGUCCGCUAAUACCGGGCGCUAAUGACGGUACCUGCAGAAUAAGCACCGGCUAACUACGUG